GAUAAGAAAAAUAUUAAACUGAUGUGAAGUAUUGCAAGUCUAAGAAGUAUUUUUAAACCAUGUCCUGGGUGUCCAUGGAAGGAAGAGAUGAUUAAAGCUGCAACACAACAGACUGUCUGCCUUAAGUGAGCUGGGAGGAGAAAGUCAAUACCAAGUGAUGUUGUGAAUACUGAAGUGCCCUUCCCUGGCUCAGCGCCCGGUGCCAACAGAACACCUUGCAGGAUCCUCAGCAGCGCAGACAACACUCCAAGAUGCCGGCCUCGGCUUGGAACGGAGCGGUGUCAUGGCGGAGACGACGGCCUUUGUCUCACAGGGUGUGAAAGCAUCCGUUGUGCUGGCUCCACUGCGGCAGAAUGACGUUUAAAGGGGGGAAAAAGUGCUGAAAGUCCGAGUUGUGCGGCGCUGGUGGGGGAGCCCCCAGCCCCGCAGCGGUGUGCGUCCGAGGAAGGGCUUGCAGCGGAGGAGCCUAGUCUGUAAUCCUGGCACUCGCGCCUCCGGUCGCUGCCUGCCGUUUGCUCCUGGGGGUCUGGAUAAUCUCCCUUGGCUUUACCGCACUGUCUGGCCCGCGCACAGGGCCCCCGUAACAUAUACCCGCUGCCGCGAUCGCAGGGAGCUGUGGCGUUGCCACUGAAUGGAUGGCACUGUGCCAACUCCGCUGCCAUCCGCCCUUGCAGCUCUUUUCCUCCCUCCUCCCUCCCGCUCUCCCCUCCUCCUCCUCCUCCCGUCGACUUGAUGUUAAUUAACACACGGGUUAAUUGAUUUUAAAAGCUGAAGAAUUACAGUUAACUUUUCCCACAGGGUACGGACGCCAGCCGCUUGGCACGGUUCUGCCGCUCGCGCUGGUGCAGGGGGGCAGGGAAGAGCCUGCAGCAAAACCAGCGUCUGCGGAGGGAUGGACGGACAGUCGUCCGCCUGUUGGAGUGCGGCUGGGGGUGGCUGACACGCUCCUGCCUCGUCCUCCCGACAUGUCACUGCUAUAUUUUGUUAUAAACAAUCAAAGCAACCCCUCCCCUCGCCUCUCCCACCCACCCUCCUUUCAGAAAGGCGAGCUCUGUCGAAGUUUAAGCAGGGAAGCCGUCCCCCCCAAAGGCUUAUCACCGCACAUAAAUGACCAGCCUCUGUGGGGUCUCGCACCGCAGGGCUCCCUAGCCUGAGCACCCUGCAACUGCUGAGGUGGGGCAUCGGAGGACCGCUGUCUGUUAUAGGCUCGUCCGGUCUUCCAGGGCUCCUUUUCGUUUCCUUAAUUGGCUCAGAUACGUCGCUUGGGGUGAAGCCUCUCAACCAGGGGAAAGUUAGUUCGUUGUAAUUACGAGAGAAAUAAACCAUGUGAGGUCUUUGUUUUUUUGCUUUCGCUCUCCCUCGCCCCAAUCUCUGCCGCAAGUGAGGGUGAGUGACGGUGUGGCUGGGAGGAGACGCAGCAAUGCUGGGAACUUGCUGCUUUCACCUUCUCGUGCUUUCAUUUUAUUUCAUUUUGUUUUUUAAAAGCAUGAAGCAAGUGAAGCGACGAGAGGAAUCCAUUAUGUAAAUCAGGUCACAUUUGCAUAAUGUCUCAUGACUGGAAUAUGCAAAUGAGUUGUAUAAUUUAUGAGUGCCAGUGUCUGUCUAAAAGUGUUUCCCAGAAUUUAUAAAAAGUGAGACGCAGGGAGGGCAGCUGGGCUGGCUGCCCUGCCAGGAGGGCUCUGUGCUUUCUUUUCAAAGUCUUCCUUGAGAUCAGCAGCUCAAAUGCUCAUUAAUAAGAAACAAGCCCCCCUUUCCACCCUGUCCCCCUCGUUUUAUUUUCCAUUUCUCCCUCUGCCAAGCCCCCACCUGCUCCCUUCGAACUUCUCCAGGAGGCGUUCAGCUGGUGCAGGGGAGCCAGGACUGCGAUGGCCAGGCAGUCCCGUGCGGGCUGGCUCAGCCUGGGUCUCACUCUGGAUGUCUCUGGGGCUCUUACUAGCAGGAGACACCCUGCCUUUCAGGCAAGCGAGCUCCGUGGGCACCGAGUGCAUCAGGGAGCUGCAUUGAGACGCUUGCCUCCGACAGGCAUGGUGGGAUUACUGCUUAUUUGCAAUGCGGCACGUCUAACUUCUGCUCUGAGUCAGAGACCCGUGCCUGACCUUGGGAAGAGCUGCAAGGUCAGUGCAGGGGUGGCAGUGCCAGUGGAGAUCCUGCUCAGAGCCGGCAGUGUUCAGCUUCAGCACUGAAAAGGUCUCUGGAGUAUCUGGAAAUGCAGGACAGGUAUCAAGACUCUUUUUUCUUUUUCUUUUUUUUCCUCUUCUCUGCAUGUUUGGAGAUCUUGGGAGCAUCGGGAGAAUGCAGCAUCCUCCCAUGCUUGGCCUCUGUGGCUCCCCACCUGCAGUGUUGGAAGGGUUCUCUGCAGCUCCCUCCUUCAGACUUCGCGGGGCCUUUGUCUGCAGUUCUUGCUUUCUAGACCUCAAUGGAGCUGGAUGCUCAAGAGCAGAGGAUCUAUCAACUGCAGACCAAGCAGAGAGAGAGGCAGGCAGAACUGGAGCAGAAAUGCAGCCGGAUCCAGCAGCUCAGCCAGGACCUGGAGGCCAGCCACCAGCUGCAGGAGGAAGCUCAGAAGCAGCUGCAUGUAAGAAACUCCUGGGAAGAGGAACAAAGCCAUCUGUUGUCCAUGUCCAUGGAGGCACACACAAGAACUAAUGGGCAUAGCCUGCAUCAAGAAAGAUUCAGAUUCACAGAGUGAGCAGGAAGGGAUCAUGCAGUCUGACCUUCUGUACCUGCAGUCAAGAAAAUUUCGCCAUGUUACUGCUGAAUUCGAUAACUUGUUUGACAAAGGCAGCUUCAGAAGGGAGUUCAACUGGACUUGAAGACAUCAAGAGAUGGCAAAUGCACUACUUCCUCCCUUGGCAGUCAAUCCCCUUUGCAUCACUCCUACUGAUUUUUUUUUUUUUUUUAUGAUUAUUGCUGUGCCAGCGGGGCUAAUGAAGCUUUAUAUGCAGCA